rnacentral:rRNA from 1 species
UGGGGAAUAUUGGACAAUGGGGGGAACCCUGAUCCAGCCAUGCCGCGUGUGUGAAGAAGGCCUUAUGGUUGUAAAGCACUUUAAGCGAGGAGGAGGGUACUGGUAUUAAUACUACCAGCUACUGGACGUUACUCGCAGAAUAAGCACCGGCUAACUCUGUGCCAGCAGCCGCGGUAAUACAGAGGGUGCGAGCGUUAAUCGGAUUUACUGGGCGUAAAGCGUGCGUAGGCGGCUAAUUGAGUCGGAUGUGAAAUCCCCGAGCUUAACUUGGGAAUUGCAUUCGAUACUGGUUAGCUAGAGUGUGGGAGAGGAUGGUAGAAUUCCAGGUGUAGCGGUGAAAUGCGUAGAGAUCUGGAGGAAUACCGAUGGCGAAGUCGACCACCUGGGCUCAUACUGACACUGAGGUGCGAAAGCGUGGGGAGCAAACAGG